rnacentral:rRNA from 1 species
CGCGUAGGCGGUUCGCUAAGUUGGAUGUGAAAACUCUGGGCUUAACCCAGAGCCUGCAUCCAAAACUGGCGAACUUGAGUACUGGAGGGGAAAGCGGAAUUCCUGGUGUAGCGGUGAAAUGCGUAGAUAUCAGGAGGAACACCGGUGGCGAAGGCGGCUUUCUGGACAGUAACUGACGCUGAGGCGCGAAAGCUAGGGGAGCAAACA